AAUGUGAAGUUUUCUUUGUGUGGCAGUAGUGAGCUGACGUCAGGUCGGUUCCUUGAAGCUGAAUAAACCUGAGAAGAGUCUCCUUCAAUCUGCUAACCAAAGCGAGCGGGGAAAGAUUAUUAAAAAAAGAGGCGUCAAGAAGAGUUUAGCUGAGCCCGAAUAAAAACAACCCGAACUGGAAAUAAAGUCAAGUGUCGAAACUAUAAAAAGAAGAGAAAAGAUAAAAGGUGUUCCAGCAGUUAUGUCAAAGAGCUGAAGACAUCUCUAACAGUGAGUACUCUCUUCUCUUUACCCCUCGCUGCACCAACAGCUCUGUGCUACAAAACAGCCGAAGCGUGACUUUUUUUUUUUCCGAAACACGUAUUGUCUCACACUUCUGCUUUUAACGCUUUCUUUUUUUUAUUUUCCUUUUUUUUUAUUUUACCACGGCGUGUCAGGAUGAAAAAGAAAUAAAAAAAUCCUGCAGACUCCUCGGGUUUUUAGGCCUAAUUUGAUUUUCAUUCAUUCGCUGAAAGAGGAUGUUUUUUUUUCUUUCUUCUUCCCCAAUUAAAUUUAACAAGAGCCCCCUUGAAAAGCAGUUGUUAUGAUUACAUUACAAAUUCGAGGUUCAUUCAGUGAAUCAAGCAAUUAAUUAGAUUUCUCUCAUUCUAAUCAGAAUAUUUGUAUGAAACGCCUAAUAAACAUCCUCUGAGUUUGCUGUCUGCUCAGACGCUGACGCCGCUCCGGGCUCUGGAUCCCGGGGCCUCGCCGACUCGCUGCUGUCGAUUAUUUUACCGCCUCGAGGCGAAAGGGCGAUCGUGUUUUCACUUUGCUGCCACUGUUGGUAAAAUAUUUUACGAACCACUCAGUGUAUCUUAAUGGAAAUUUCAGGYAAUAAUAAUCAGAUGAGCCUCUACAAAGAUUUAACUUCUGGACUU